rfam:Campylobacter rectus RM3267 contig00019, whole genome shotgun sequence.
CGGGGUGUAGCGCAGGCUGGUUAGCGCAUCUGGUUUGGGACCAGAGGGCCGAAGGUUCGAAUCCUUUCACCCCGA